rnacentral:rRNA from 1 species
UACGUAGGUGGCGAGCGUUAUCCGGAUUUAUUGGGCGUAAAGGGUGCGUAGGCGGUUGAUUAAGUCUGAAUUGAAAUCGUGGGGCUCAACUCCAUCCUGGUUCAGAAACUGGUCGACUAGAGUGCAGGAGAGGUUAGCGGAAUUCCAUGUGUAGCGGUAAAAUGCGUAGAUAUAUGGAGGAACACCAGUGGCGAAGGCGGCUAACUGGCCUGUAACUGACGCUGAGGCACGAAAGCGUGGGGAGCAAAUA